CGACGUAAAGAACUUGCCUCACAGCUAGGGACAACAUUUAGAAAUGAAUGCUAAUACCUGAUAUUAUGAUUUUAAGGCAUCUUAGGAUUAUGAAAGCUAUAAGCACUGUGAGAGAGCUUUGCGUCCCAUUAGCUAGUUGGAGAGGUAACAGCUCACCAAGGCGAUGAUGGGUAGCCGGCCUGAGAGGGUGAACGGCCACAAGGGGACUGAGACACGGCCCUU
rnacentral:rRNA from 1 species